UAUAAGGGAUUGCACUGGAAGGAAGGAAUUGAUCUACAUCUUGAAAGAUAACAUAAUAAUCAAGAUCUUCGUGCAUGCAUGGUUGAAGAUUUUAUUGUGCAGAAAGCUAGCUAGAUUCCUAAUAAAUUCUCCAUAUCCUGUACGCGCGUUUAGUUACUGCACUUAUUCCUCGUCGGUCUAUGGUUGUCUCUUUUUUAACAAUGAGAGACCGGUGGGAGGGAUUACUCAGUCCCUCUUAGAUGAAAGAGUCCACUUUCUCCAAAUGGUAGCGAUUUUACCUUCGCCAGCGAAGCUUAGCGUAGCAUCAGACGCGAGUAGUAUCGAUCACAUCAAUCAGGAUCUGAGAUAGGUAGGUUGCUGGGGUGGGAGGGAAUAGAAGAUUGUGGUGGACUUCAGGGGGAGGGUUUCCGGAGAGGUGGUUAUUCAAUCAAUUUCUGCAUUGAGUAUAAAACUGUGCAUCGAUCGAGUUAGAAUUGCGCUGGGAGAAAUAGAGGUGCCUCUUCUUAAUAUAUCCAGACAACACUAGCAUGGGCAUGCAGACUUUCUGGAAGGAUAUGCACUGAGCAUCAAGGGAAGAGCAUUAGAAAGGGGUAGGGUUGAAGGAGCUUUUGGUCUAUUCUGCAUCUGCAGAGAUACUGUGUGCACAUUAUCAAAAUAAACUUAGCUCAUCAAAACGCAGUUUUCAAAAGGCUUCCUAAAACUGAUGCAUCUACCUUUUGAAGGGAGCUCCAAGGGGAAGGACACUACAAUCAGAGACCAAGUUUCAGUGCUAUGAACCUGCAACCAUGAAAUACUUUGGAUAUUACCAUGCAUUGACACCUGAUGAGGUCAAGGAGCGGGUAGCACUAGCAAGGAAGGCA